rnacentral:rRNA from 1 species
UACUAGAGUAGCACUCGCAUAUCAAUAAGCGGAGGAAAAGAAACUAACAAGGAUUCCCCUAGUAACGGCGAGUGAAGCGGGAAGAGCUCAAAUUUGAAAUCUUAAAGGGUUUCCCUUUACGAAUUGUAGUUUAAAGAAGUGUUUUCUGUUGAGGUUUUGGUAAAAGUUCUUUGGAAUAGGACAUCAUAGAGGGUGAGAAUCCCGUAUUUGACCUUUACUUUCAACUUUGUGAUACACUUUCAAAGAGUCGGAUUGUUUGGGAAUGCGGUCCAAAAUGGGUGGUAAAUUUCAUCUAAAGCUAAAUAUUGGCGAGAGACCGAUAGCGAACAAGUACCGUGAGGGAAAGAUGAAAAGAACUUUGAAAAGAGAGUUAAACAGUACGUGAAAUUGUCAAAAGGGAAGCGUUUGACACCAGUGUUGUUUUUCUGAAAAUCAAUUAAAGAACUGUUUAUGCUAAGCUGUUUAGACUUUAUCAGCUAACUGUUUAGUUUUGAGCUUUUCUUUAAUGCACUUUUCAGUUAACAAGUCAACAUCAAUUUCUUUUGCUGUAAAAAAGCUUGAGGAAGGUGGCUUGAGAUUCGUCUUAAGUGUUUAUAGCCUCUUGCCUAUGCAGUCGGAGAGAUUGAGGUCUGCAGCGUAGAUCCUUCGGGGCUAAAUGCAUUUGUGCUAAGUUAUAGCAUUUUAUAGACAACUUGUUGACUAUGAUUUGUCUUGUAGCUUACUCGCUUAUGUUAUUUUACCUACGCUUAGGAUGUUGAUCUCUCACAGUCGAGC